ACGUUUUUUUCAUAGAGAUUUAGAUUUAAGGUUAGAAGAAUUGUGGAAGUCGUGAGACUUCCCUUUUUUAUUCUUAACCUUACGCAUAUUUACCUGUUUUUCUUUUUCAAGGGAAUAUGCAUGAAAAGCCCAUUCGUGAGAAAGGGCUUUUUU
rnacentral:sRNA from 1 species